rnacentral:rRNA from 1 species
UGGGGAAUUUUGGACAAUGGGCGCAAGCCUGAUCCAGCAAUGCCGCGUGCAGGAUGAAGGCCUUCGGGUUGUAAACUGCUUUUGUACGGAACGAAAAGACUCUGGUUAAUACCUGGGGUCCAUGACGGUACCGUAAGAAUAAGCACCGGCUAACUACGUGUCAGCAGCCGCGGUAAUACGUAGGGUGCGAGCGUUAAUCGGAAUUACUGGGCGUAAAGCGUGCGCAGGCGGUUAUGUAAGACAGAUGUGAAAUCCCCGGGCUCAACCUGGGAACUGCCUUUGUGACUGCACAGCUAGAGUACGGUAGAGGGGGAUGGAAUUCCGCGUGUAGCAGUAAAAGGCGUAGAUAUGCGGAGGAACACCGAUGGCGAAGGCAAUCCCCUGGACCUGUACUGACGCUCAUGCACGAAGGCGUGGGGAGCAAACA